rnacentral:lncRNA from 1 species
AUAAAACAUAAACUCUUAUUGCAAUAAAUCAAAACAUUAUAAGAGAUAAUUUCUUAAAAAGGGAAACAGAGAAAAAUAAUUCUUUUUUUUUGAAAAAUAGCCGAGCUGUUCCCUAUAAUGAAUUAUCCUAAAAGACCUUUUAAGUCUGAAUACGUCACCACAUCGACUAACUUCUGCUGCCAAAUCCAAGUCUGGUUGGAAAGAUGUUCAAUUUGAGGACAAUGGCCACCAGAUGACAGUGCCAGAAAUGAAAGAAUACUACACGUUAUGUAACUUUCUUCGAGUAAUGUAUCUUCGUCGUUAAACUUAGUUACUCGACAAAAUAUUCAAAUAGUUAGCUGAACCAACUCAACAAAUGGUCUAGUUGAUUGAGCUGAAUUCGUCUUUACAAGGUAAUAACAGCGGAAAGAGAUGGUCUUUUUACCAUAGAUAUGUAGCAGUCCAUUAUAUAAUUUUUCUUGUUAAAAAUAAUCCCAUGAAGAGAAGGAUUAUACAG